rnacentral:rRNA from 1 species
CCUACGGGGUGCAACAGUGGGGAAUUUUGGACAAUGGGCGCAAGCCUGAUCCAGCUAUUCCGCGUGUGGGAUGACGGCCUUCGGGUUGUAAACCACUUUUGUAGAGAACGAAAAGUCUGUUGAUAAUACCGAUAGAUGAUGACGGUACUCUAAGAAUAAGCACCGGCUAACUACGUGCCAGCAGCCGCGGUAAUACGUAGGGUGCGAGCGUUAAUCGGAAUUACUGGGCGUAAAGGGUGUGCAGGCGGUGUUGCAAGAUGGAUGUGAAAGCCCCGGGCUUAACCUGGGAAAGCCAUACAUGACUGCAAGACUAGAGUGCGUCAGAGGGGGGUGGAAUUCCAAGUGUAGCAGUGAAAUGCGUAGAUAUUUGGAAGAACACCGAUGGCGAAGGCAGCCCCCUGGGACGCAACUGACGCUCAUACACGAAAGCGUGGGGAGCAAACAGGAUUAGAUACCCGGGUAGUC